GUGCCCGGUCCCAUGGGUGCCUCGGGGUUGGGCCGCUGCCGGCUGGCGCUGGCCUUCGCGGUGUUCAUGGACGCCGCGGGCACCGGGGCACUGCUGACGGGCAUCUUUGCCAGGCUGCGGCUGCGGGGCCGCGAUUUCGGGGACCUUUUCAUCUACUCGGGGGCGGUGCUGGUGUUCCUGAGCCUGCUGGGCUGGAUCAUGUGGUACACGGGCAACAUCGAGAUCGCCCCCGAGGAACUGGCGAGGGACUACGGCGCCAAGGGAGGCACGUUGGCCCGGCUGGCCAGGAAGAUCUCGCGGACCUGGUCCCGGCGGCAAGGGGGCGCGCUGGCCAUGCGGACGGUGCCGAGCAGCCGGGAAGCGGCCUAGAGGAUGGAUGGAUGGACUUGCCUGGAUGGGCGAUGCUCUUCUCCUAGGACUGGAUUGGACCUUGGACCCACCAAAUACCAAGAAAAGGAUGUUCGGACUCACCCCUUCAACUGCUUGCCCUGAAGCUGUUGCUGAUCUUCCCCCAUUUGACCAGAUAAUCGGCCAUUUCACCUUCGCUCCGUGGUAACUCAGAUUCCCUCUCCUUCCUUUGGAACUCCUUAAACUUCCUGUAUGGGAAAGAAACACAUCAGGAUGUGGGAAGAUAUGGGGAUGGGGUUUUCCCUCAGGAAUGCAGGGCUAGUCCUCAGGAACUCUGGCAGGGAUGAGAAACUCAAGGCCCGGAUUCGAGUUUGGAGAAACUGUAAGGGGCUGCAUCCCAGUGGUGGGCAGGAUCCAAGCGCAAAGUGGGUGCGGACAAAAUACAAGAGGUAUCAGCAUAUUGUAUCUUAAAGCUCUCACUGCCAGCCACUAAACUUUAGAGCAGCCAUUUCAGCCUUUGAGAAUAGGGGGACACCUGGAAACCACUAAGUGAUCCAUGGUUGGGGUAAAGGCGAUGGAGGCAGGGAGCGGGAACUGCCUUCUGAGGCCCCAUAGAGGGCUGGAUUGGGACCCCCAAGAUGGCUGG